CGGGUGUGUAAGCGCAGCGAUGCGUUGAGCUAACCGGUACUAAUGAACCGUGAGGCUUAACCUUACAACGCCGAAGC
rnacentral:rRNA from 2 species